GACGAACGCUGGCGGCGUGCCUAAUACAUGCAAGUAGAACGCUGAAGGAGGAGCUUGCUCUUCUGGAUGAGUUGCGAACGGGUGAGUAACGCGUAGGUAACCUGCCUGGUAGCGGGGGAUAACUAUUGGAAACGAUAGCUAAUACCGCAUAACAGUAGAUGUUGCAUGACAUUUGCUUAAAAGGUGCAAUUGCAUCACUACCAGAUGGACCUGCGUUGUAUUAGCUAGUUGGUGGGGUAACGGCUCACCAAGGCGACGAUACAUAGCCGACCUGAGAGGGUGAUCGGCCACACUGGGACUGAGACACGGCCCAGACUCCUACGGGAGGCAGCAGUAGGGAAUCUUCGGCAAUGGACGGAAGUCUGACCGAGCAACGCCGCGUGAGUGAGGAAGGUUUUCGGAUCGUAAAGCUCUGUUGUAAGAGAAGAACGAGUGUGAGAGUGGAAAGUUCACACUGUGACGGUAUCUUACCAGAAAGGGACGGCUAACUACGUG
rnacentral:rRNA from 1 species